UACAACUCAGAAACCAAAAUCUGCCGAGCUGAUGGAACACGGAUCGGACAUACAGAAUGCGUCUGGGUCCCCAGCAAAAUCCAGCAGGCGGCUCCGGCCACCAGUGCACAAAAUAUAACGCGACUAAUGAUUGGUGGUCAAACAAACACAUUAGAUACAUAAAAUAUUUGAAUUUUUAAACAAGUCGCUUGAACGAGUCGUCCCCGGCGUGGUCAUGGCAUCCGGCGGAUAUUCUCAGCUUAUCCCAUGAACGAGAUAUGACUCAGGUUACGGCAUGACAACACUUGAGAUGUCUGUUUCUGAAUGCUGCUGCAGCAACCUGCCAAGAACCGUCUUCUAAUGAAGUUUUUUAGUACAUUUGCAGAUGAAUCCAACAGAAGUGCUCCAGCCAAAAAAAAGUGCAUGUCACCUUUCCAGUUUCCAGAUGAAAUUCCAAGCUCUGAGAGUGG
rnacentral:lncRNA from 1 species